rnacentral:ribozyme from 1 species
UCUCUCUUUCUUUCUUUCUUCUAAAAAAGAACUAAAACGAACAAACGGCUUCCUUCGAUUCCGUUCUGUUCUGACAGGAAAGGAAAACCCAAAGAAGUUUCUUUUCAAAAAUGAAAAAAUGAAAAGAAAGAAAAAAAAAUAAAAAAU